rnacentral:rRNA from 1 species
AUUGAACGCUGGCGGCAGGCCUAACACAUGCAAGUCGAACGAGUGGCGGACGGGUGAGUAAUGUCUGGGAAACUGCCUGAUGGAGGGGGAUAACUACUGGAAACGGUAGCUAAUACCGCAUACCAUCAGAUGUGCCCAGAUGGGAUUAGCGAGUUGGUGGGGUAACGGCGCACCAAGGCGACGAUCCCUAGCUGGUCUGAAUGGAUGACCCGCCACACUGGAACUGAGACACGGUCCAGACUCCGUCGGGAGGCAGCAUUGGGGAAUAUGGCACAAUGGGCGCAAUCCUGACGCAGCCAUGCCGCGUGUAUGAAGAAGGCCUUCGGGUUGUAAAGUACUUUCAGCGGGGAGGCGUUACCCGCAGAAUAAGCACCGUCUAACUCCGUGCCAGCAGCCGCGGUAAUUC